AUUGAACGCUAGCGGGAUGCUUUACACAUGCAAGUCGAACGGCAGCGCGGACUUCGGUCUGGCGGCGAGUGGCGGACGGGUGAGUAAUGUAUCGGAACGUGCCCAGUAGCGGGGGAUAACUACGCGAAAGCGUAGCUAAUACCGCAUACGCCCUACGGGGGAAAGCAGGGGAUCGUAAGACCUUGCACUAUUGGAGCGGCCGAUAUCGGAUUAGCUAGUUGGUGAGGUAACGGCUCACCAAGGCGACGAUCCGUAGCUGGUUUGAGAGGACGACCAGCCACACUGGGACUGAGACACGGCCCAGACUCCUACGGGAGGCAGCAGUGGGGAAUUUUGGACAAUGGGGGCAACCCUGAUCCAGCCAUCCCGCGUGUGCGAUGAAGGCCUUCGGGUUGUAAAGCACUUUUGGCAGGAAAGAAACGUCGCGGGCUAAUACCCCGUGGAACUGACGGUACCUGCAGAAUAAGCACCGGCUAACUACGUG
rnacentral:rRNA from 1 species